rnacentral:lncRNA from 10 species
CUGGACUUUCUUUGUUUUCAAUGACCUGGACAGUUUUGAGGAGCACUUAAUGGCCAGAUAUUUUGCUUACUGUUAUUUUAUUUGAGUAUAUCUGAUGUUACUCUUAUAAUUAAACAGGUGAUAUCUUUGGAUAAUACUGGUCUUGUAGAAUGAGUUGGGAAAAUGUUCCCUGUGCUCCUAUAUGUACCUAUAUGUAUACAUUUUUUUGAAAAGUUUAUAAAGGAUUCAUGUUAAUUCAUCUUUAAAUAUUUGGUGGAAUUCAUCAAUGAUGCUAUCUGGGACUGGACUUUUUUGCAGGUGAAUAAGGUGGGAUUUGAAAUCAGCAUGGCAGUGUCCAGUGGAAGAAGGGAG